rnacentral:rRNA from 1 species
GACGAACGCUGGCGGCGUGCUUAACACAUGCAAGUCGAACGGAAAGGCCCUGCUGGGGUGGGGUGCUCGGGGGGCGGACGGGUAAGUAACACGUAAGUAACCUGCUCUUGACUUUGGGAUAACUUCAGGUAGGGGGAGUUAAGACCGGAUAGCAUCGCCGCUUGGAGGGGGGGGGUUGGAUAGUUUCGGCUGGUGGGGAUGGACGCGCGGCUUACCAGCUGGUUGGUGGGGUAGUGGCUUACCAAGGCUUGGGCGGGUAGCCGGCCUGAGAGGGUGACCGGCCACAUUGGGACUGAGAUAGGGCCCAGCUUCCUACGGGGGGCAGCGGGGGGGAAUAUUGCCCAGUGGGCGGAAGCCUGUGGAAGAACCGCCCCGUGCGGGAUGCCGGCCUUGGGGUUGUAAACCGCUUUCGCCUGUGACGAAGCGUGAGUGACGGUACUGGGUAAAGAAGCACCGGCUAACUACGUG